GGCAAUCAUUUUAAAAAUGCUUAUAGAAACAAAAUAAACAUGUAUCUAUGAAUUCACAUGAGGUACACACUCUUAUCAGACAUACAAAAGCUAAUUUUCUGAGUAACUUGCUGUUUGUCUGUCUUCCUAACUGUGGUUGGUUACUCUAUAGAGCCCUAAUACUCUUUUUUAUAAUUUUAAUAUAACCGUUGCAAUCCACUAAUCUCUUCUCAAAUGCAUGUCAAACGAGAAAGAGGAGGUCAAAAUAAAUAGGAAUUAUCAGCUUUAGAUAUCAUAUCAUUAUUUUAUUUGUGUGUUUGCAUGUUUGUAGUAUUAUGUUAUUUUUAAUAAAAAUUACAGAACUUACUAUAGGCUUGCCUUUUCCAAAAUGACAUAUACAUAGAUAGAUACAGAUAAAUAUGCAUAGUGACAUAGAUAGAUAACAGGUAUUGCUGUUUUCUAUUACCUCAAUACUAUUCAUAAUUAACCAUUAAUAAAUAACAGCGACGUUUGAAAUGGGAGAGCUCCAGUUUUACAAUAAUUUUCUUACAAAAGCUAUAACAUGCUAACAAAUGAUGAAUUGCCUAUUUGGUAAUAGUCAUUCAGGCUAAAGCACAAUUUGCCUAUUGAUUACUGAAAGUUUUGACAAUUUUCUAUCCACUUGAGCCUCUUCCACAUUACUAACACUAUUCAUUACGUCUCAGCAAAGGUAUUUCACGGGGUGGAAUUUUUAACUCAAACAGAGCCAUCCUAAUUGUGAAUAGAAGUAGGUUUUUCUCCUCCCCCAAAACUCUUUGAAAUUGUGAAGGAAGAAAUAAAUAUGCCUUGUAAAAUUGAAUGAAUUGUCAAUUGAACAGUAGUUCUUGCGCCCCUUCUCACCAGGCAAAAUGAAGAAUUCUAUAAGGGAGAAGAGGAGAAAAACACCAUAAAAUUGGUGUGGAUUCUUUCACUGGAUAAAGAAAAAAAAGUGUCACAGACAAAGAAAAGAGACUUUGGACUUGAAAUAUAAUGAAAGUGAUUUUUCUGAACAGAUGAAGCAGAUGGCAUUUACAAAAGCUACUAAACU
rnacentral:lncRNA from 1 species